rnacentral:rRNA from 1 species
CGUUGAAACACUGAUUCUCAUAUGAUCACCGAAGUUAAGCAACAUCAAGCCUGGUCAGUACCUAGAUGGGUGGCUAUUUGGAAAUACCAGGAGCUGUAAG